GUAUGUGAACGCUGUGCAAACUGCUUUAAGACGGAGGCUGGACUGAAGGUGGAGCUCCACAUAAGGCAGAAGGAGAAGGAGAGGAGUUUGCUGGACACAGGGCUCUCCUUGUUGUUGGCCCAGACUACAGCAUUCAGGCUAAGUUAAGGGAAGAGGAGGAGGCGGAGGAAGAAUCGGAAGCUGAGCUGGUAGUUUAUUGAGGGAGGAAGGUGACUAAUCGUGAAUGUCACUCAGCGUACUCUAACUCAGGCUGGUGGAGGGAGGAGUGGCUGGACAACCACUGAACCGGCAUAUGUAUGCAGUAUUUGGUCCAGCCCAGCCAGUAAACAGCUGUCUGUCUCUGUCAGAGAGAGUGUGCAUCAACACGUGGAGGAGCAGUAAUCUCUUGGAUACACUAUGAUGUCUUUGGGAUAGUUGGAGAGUUGCGGUCUCUUCAUCCAUCUGUGUCCGUGACCUCUACGUGCAGAUUACCAUCCACUGUCUCCAGAGGCCAGACAUGUAGUCAGAAGCGUAAAGCAGAGCCCAUUUGUCUUUGUGAACCCUUUUCCUCUCAAGCAGCUUACUCUACCUCUCGGGCUGGACUGCGGUGCCCUGACGCCGGCUCGCCCUCCCCUGCCCCCUCGCCCCACAG